AGAGAGGAGAGAGAGAAGAGAAGAGGACUAAG
rnacentral:sRNA from 1 species